CAUGCCAUUGAGGGGUUCCCCGCGACCCCUGGCCCGCUGUUAUGGCACAUUUAAUGUGCGAAAUUAAGUGUUGUUAUAUCUAUAGGAAUUAUUUCAUCAAAAUUAAGUAGCACAUAAAUAAUUUGUGCAUGGCGCUGCUUAAGCGAAUACCCCAUUGUGGGGGCUUCCAAGGCCAGAGUGUGGCAACAAUUGGCCGGAGGAACCUGGAGGCGGAGGUCACCUCCGAGUAGCGUUCCAAGCCUCCAACGAGUGAAAAUAAAAACCGCCUGGUCGGAGGAAUCCGAGUCACGUGUUCGUGCUGCCCCGACCAACAUAAUUGAUGGCCUCAAGAUGCUCCGGAGCUCAAUUCCAGCCCACUGAGAAAUGGCUCAAAACAGCAAGGAAAUUUACACCUUAGCUCUGCGGACAGAACACGAACUGAUUUCAAUCGCUGGGUUCGUGUGAUAUGAGCCGACAUGCAGAUGCAAAUAUGUCCCCUCAUUUAAGCCACCUCAAAGAGAAUCCAGCUGAAGGGUGGUAACAGGAUCCGUGAAAUGGUAAGAUAGCGAUGUUAAAGAUAAAGAUACGAUUAAAUCGAUGUAUAGAAAUAUGCAGCUUAGAAAAAGUAGUAUAUCUAUCAGUAUCAGUACGUCAUAGAAAUGUAGAUUGUUGAUUGUCGAUCCUAGUAGUAUGUGAUGUAGGCUAAGGUGACAACAAGUAAUAAAAUGUUUGAUUCAACUAGACAUCUGACAGAUACGUGCCUUUCAAGGAUUGCGAAAUGAUAUGAAAAUAACAAGAUAAUUGUUGAAGUAAUCCCCCGAUUUUAUCAGGCACCUUCGCAGUUCCCAGUGUCGCUCAAAAAUAUAGUUUCGGUUCGCAAUGAUUAAGGUAAAGGGUCGAGGCAAGGAUGACCUGGUCAAUGGGACCUGCAAGUGGCUUGCCCUUCGUGCGGAGCCAUUCGCUAAUGGCACAGCCGCAGAUUGCAUGUUCCGAACCCAUAAUCCUCUUCACUUGGAAACAUAUGACGUGAGCGAUAAGAACGAACGAUUUCGAGUGUUUUGUUGCUAAAUCUAUCAGAGACCGCCUAGGGCCGCGGCCAUAAACUAUAAAUAAACAACACAAGGGGCGGAGGAGGAGGGCCGUUGGAAGGGGCAUGUUCUGGGCGGCGAGCCCAUUUUCUUUAUCUGCACCGGCACAGAAACGUACAGGAAUUAUCAAUUAAAUGUGGCAGCCAGAGCCAAGCGCCGAGAGCAAUGUCAAUACGCGUAAUCGCUCGGAAAUAAAAGUAAAUAUGGCGCGACUGGGAAGGAAAAGCCAUCGCGGAUGAGGAAAGCACUCGAGGAACUCAGCGAGCUGGGUGCGGACUGCGGACUAAUUGCCGCACAAAGCACUUAAUUGACCUCUGGCCCGGUAGGUGGCGCUGCAGCCGGAGAUGGCUGAGGGCUGCAGUAAGGGUCCGCUGGCAUCGGGGAGCACUGGAGUGCGCAUAGUGGAGUGUCAUAAAGAAAUUGCUAACGUCGGCUGCGGCAUCUGGCAACUGGGGCAAUGUCGUGACAGAUAAGAAACCGCAAGCCACAACUGAAGUGUCGUCUUUGGUCGUCCCAGCCUCCUGCCCCGUGCCCCGUGCCUCCUGUGCCCCAAGUUCCCUGCAAAAACCCCCUUACCCCUUGGUGUCAUCCAUGUGGAUAACGUGACCAACAUGUGCGUGGCAAAGAAGCGGAGAGCUCCAGUCGCAGACUGCCUGCAAAUAAAGUGACUGCAUUUGUGUCUACCCAUGUAUGUGGCAGGCCAUGACUACGGGGCUCACUGGGAAGAAUUUCGAAUUCUCGAGCUGAAAUUGUAAUAUUUUUUAAUAAAUUAAUCUCUACAACUUCUAUCUCGAAGAUAGUUUUCGUUUUCCAUACUAUGGUUAAAAUGCCAUGCAGUGUAAACACUGAGACUUAUGUAGCACUUUUAUAGCCACAAAUUUAUUUAUUUAAUUAUUCAUGUCAUUUAAAAUCAAUAAAGUUUUUGCCUUAUAAAAUGUGGUCGUAAGCAUAUGUGCAUCCCUCUCCCCAAAGCGUUUGUUCAUGGCCUUAUGACUAUAGCUGCAUCUAUGGCAUGGAUAUGGCUUUCGUGCCCGG
rnacentral:sRNA from 1 species